UGGCGAGUGGCGAACGGGUGAGUAAUAUAUCGGAACGUACCCUGAAAUGGGGGAUAACGUAGCGAAAGUUACGCUAAUACCGCAUAUGCCCUAAGGGGGAAAGCGGGGGACCUUCGCAAGAACCUCGCGUUUUCGGAGCGGCCGAUAUCGGAUUAGCUAGUAGGUGAGGUAAAGGCUCACCUAGGCGACGAUCCGUAGCUGGUCUGAGAGGACGACCAGCCACACUGGAACUGAGACACGGUCCAGACUCCUACGGGAGGCAGCAGUGGGGAAUUUUGGACAAUGGGCGCAAGCCUG
rnacentral:rRNA from 1 species